ACGGAAGGCAGCAGUGGGGAAUAUUGCACAAUGGUCGCAAGCCUGAUGCAGCGAUGCCGCGUGAGGGAAGAAGGUUUUCGGAUUGUAAACCUCUGUCAUCGGGGACGAUAAUGACUGUACCCGAGAUGGAAGCUCCGGCUAACUACGUGCCAGCAGCCGCGGUAAUACGUAGGGAGCGAGCGUUAUCCGGAAUUACUGGGUGUGAAGGGAGUGUAGGCGGGACUGUAAGUCAGAUGUGAAAUAUACCGGCUCAACUGGUAGACUGCAUUUGAAACUGCGGUUCUUGAGUGAAGUAGAGGUAUGCGGAAUUCCUAGUGUAGCGGUGAAAUGCGUAGAUAUUAGGAGGAACAUCAGUGGCGAAGGCGGCUUACUGGGCUUUAACUGACGCUGAGGCUCGAAAGCGUGGGGAGCAAACAGGAUUAGAUACCCUGGUA
rnacentral:rRNA from 1 species